UUUACUGACGCUAAAGCUCGAAGGUGCGGGUAUCGAACAGGAUUAGAUACCCUGGUAGUCCGCACGGUAAACGAUGGAUGCCCGCUGUUUGCGAUAUACUGUGAGCGGCCAAGAGAAAUCGUUAAGCAUCCCACCUGGGGAGUACGCCGGCAACGGUGAAACUCAAAGGAAUUGACGGGGGCCCGCACAAGCGGAGGAACAUGUGGUUUAAUUCGAUGAUACGCGAGGAACCUUACCCGGGCUUGAACUGCAGCGGAAGGAUACAGAGAUGUUGACGUCCUUCGGGACCGCUGUGGAGGUGCUGCAUGGUUGUCGUCAGCUCGUGCCGUGAGGUGUCGGCUUAAGUGCCAUAACGAGCGCAACCCCUUUCAUUAGUUGCCAUCACUUCGGGUGGGCACUCUGGUGAUACUGCCACCGUAAGGUGUGAGGAAGGUGGGGAUGACGUCAAAUCAGCACGGCCCUUACGUCCGGGGCUACACACGUGUUACAAUGGGUGAUACAGAUGGCCGGUGCAUGGCAAUGUGCAUCAAAUCUUGAAAGUCAUCCUCAGUUCGGAUUGGGGUCUGCAACCCGACCCCAUGAAGCUGGAUUCGCUAGUAAU
rnacentral:rRNA from 1 species